GACUACCGGGGUAUCUAAUCCUGUUUGAUACCCACACCUUCGCAGUUUAGCGUCAAUUACGGCUUAGAAGACUGCCUUCGCCUUCGGUAUUCCUCCUGAUCUCUGCGCAUUCCACCGCUACACCAGGAAUUCUGUCUUCCCCAACCGCAUUCCAGAUCUACAGUAUCUAAUGCCUUACGACGGGUAAGCCGUCGCCUUUAACAUCAAACUUAUAGAUCCGCCUACCUGCCCUUUACGCCUAGUAAUUCCGGACAACGCUUGCAACCCCCGUGUUACCGCGGCUGCUGGCACGGAGUUAGCCGUUGCUUAUUCAUAUGCUAAUAUCUCUGAUCUCAUGCUAUUCACAUAAAACCCAUUGCUCACAUAUAAAAGAACUUUACACCCCGAAGGGCUUCUUCGUUCACGCGGCGUCGCACUAUCAGUCUUUCGACCAUUGUAGACUAUUCUCGACUGCAGCCCCCCGUAGG
rnacentral:rRNA from 1 species